rnacentral:rRNA from 1 species
UACGGAGGAUGCGAGCGUUAUCCGGAAUCAUUGGGUUUAAAGGGUCCGUAGGCGGGCUUAUAAGUCAGUGGUGAAAUCUCCCAGCUCAACUGGGAAACUGCCAUUGAUACUGUAGGUCUUGAAUAUUUGUGAAGUAACUAGAAUAUGUAGUGUAGCGGUGAAAUGCUUAGAUAUUACAUGGAAUACCAAUUGCGAAGGCAGGUUACUAAUAAAUUAUUGACGCUGAUGGACGAAAGCGUGGGGAGCGAACAGG